rnacentral:rRNA from 1 species
AUUGAACGCUGGCGGCAGGCUUAACACAUGCAAGUCGAGCGGAGUGAUGGUGCUUGCACUAUCACUUAGCGGCGGACGGGUGAGUAAUGCUUAGGAAUCUGCCUAUUAGUGGGGGACGACAUCUCGAAAGGGAUGCUAAUACCGCAUACGUCCUACGGGAGAAAGCAGGGGAUCACUUGUGACCUUGCGCUAAUAGAUGAGCCUAAGUCGGAUUAGCUAGUUGGUGGGGUAAAGGCCUACCAAGGCGACGAUCUGUAGCGGGUCUGAGAGGAUGAUCCGCCACACUGGGACUGAGACACGGCCCAGACUCCUACGGGAGGCAGCAGUGGGGAAUAUUGGACAAUGGGGGGAACCCUGAUCCAGCCAUGCCGCGUGUGUGAAGAAGGCCUUAUGGUUGUAAAGCACUUUAAGCGAGGAGGAGGCUCUUUUGGUUAAUACCCAAGAUGAGUGGACGUUACUCGCAGAAUAAGCACCGGCUAACUCUGUGCCAGCAGCCGCAGUAAUAC